rnacentral:misc_RNA from 1 species
UACGGAGGGUGCAAGCGUUAUCCGGAAUCAUUGGGUUUAAAGGGUCCGUAGGCGGGGGAAUAAGUCAGUGGUGAAAGUCUGCAGCUCAACUGUAGAACUGCCAUUGAAACUGUUUUCCUUGAGUUAUUAUGAAGUGGUUAGAAUAUGUAGUGUAGCGGUGAAAUGCAUAGAUAUUAUAUAGAAUACCGAUUGCGAAGGCAGAUCACUAGUAAUGUACUGACGCUGAGGGACGAAAGCGUAGGUAGCGAACAGG